rnacentral:rRNA from 1 species
UGUUGGGUUAAGUCCCGCAACGAGCGCAACCCUUAUCCUUGUUUGCCAGCGAGUAAUGUCGGGAACUCCAGGGAGACUGCCGGUGAUAAACCGGAGGAAGGUGGGGACGACGUCAAGUCAUCAUGGCCCUUACGAGUAGGGCUACACACGUGCUACAAUGGCGCAUACAGAGGGCGGCCAACUUGCGAAAGUGAGCGAAUCCCAAAAAGUGCGUCGUAGUCCGGAUUGGAGUCUGCAACUCGACUCCAUGAAGUCGGAAUCGCUAGUAAUCGUGGAUCAGAAUGCCACGGUGAAUACGUUCCCGGGCCUUGUACACACCGCCCGUCACACCAUGGGAG